rnacentral:rRNA from 1 species
UACAGAGGUCCCGAGCGUUGUUCGGAUUCACUGGGCGUAAAGGGUGCGUAGGUGGUGAGGUAAGUCGGAUGUGAAAUCUCCGAGCUCAACUCGGAAAUGGCAUUGGAAACUACCUUGCUAGAGGACCGGAGGGGGGACUGGAAUACUUGGUGUAGCAGUGAAAUGCGUAGAUAUCAAGUGGAACACCAGUGGCGAAGGCGAGUCCCUGGACGAUACCUGACACUGAGGCACGAAAGCUAGGGGAGCAAACAGG